rnacentral:ncRNA from 2 species
UCAGCUAGCGCGGUUUCAGGUGUCUCGCGCCGACGCGCGCGAGGUGAAACGGGAAGCCGGUGCGUCCGCAAGGACCAGUCCGGCGCUGCCCCCGCAACGGUAAGCGCAUCGAGGGUCGUCAGUAGCCACUGUGCCAAGGCAUGGGAAGGCUGGCCCAUCCGGCGAGAGUCUCUCGCUGGCGUCGCAAGCCCGGAGACCGGCCUGGAAUCCUCACAUUUU